GGGUGUCAAGCUCAUGAGGUAUGAGCAGCCGUCUCAUAAACGGUAGGCAGACAGGUUCGAGUCCUGCGGCACCCACCA
rnacentral:tRNA from 1 species